UGUCACUUGUUACUGGGGAAGGUGAACUUGGCAAGCUAGAGUAUCUCUAUGAGACAAAGGUACCUCUUUUGAUUCCAUAAUCUAAAAUGACAUGUAGACAAUGAAAACAUGCUACGUUGCUGCAUGCAAAUUCCAAAAGGCGUUGCUGCUGUUCUUGCUGCUAAUUUACAGGUACAAGGAAGCUUUUUGCGUUUGAUUCCUGGAUUUGGUACCUGGUUCUGGUCCGGCAAAACUGGUGCUG
rnacentral:lncRNA from 1 species